GACGAACGCUGGCGGCGUGCUUAACACAUGCAAGUCGAGCGGAAAGGCCCUUCGGGGUACUCGAGCGGCGAACGGGUGAGUAACACGUGAGCAACCUGCCCUAGGCUUUGGGAUAACCCUCGGAAACGGGGGCUAAUACCGGAUAGGACCUGCCGCCGCAUGGUGGUGGGUGGAAAGUUUUUCGGCCUGGGAUGGGCUCGCGGCCUAUCAGCUUGUUGGUGGGGUGAUGGCCUACCAAGGCGACGACGGGUAGCCGGCCUGAGAGGGCGACCGGCCACACUGGGACUGAGACACGGCCCAGACUCCGACGGGAGGCAGCAGUGGGGAAUAUUGCAGAAUGGGCGGAAGCCUGAUGCAGCGACGCCGCGUGAGGGAUGACGGCCUUCGGGUUGUACACCUCUUUCAGCAGGGACGAAGCGUAAGUGACGGUACCUGCAGAAGAAGCGCCGGCCAACUACGUGCCAGCAGCCGCGGUAAUAC
rnacentral:rRNA from 1 species